rnacentral:rRNA from 1 species
UGAAAAAUUCCCCGGGCUUAAAACCUGGGGGACCCUGCCAUUUUGGGGACCUCCCAUGGCUUAGGAGUUACGGGUAGAGGGGGGGGAUUGGAAAUUUCCCGCCGUGGUAGGCAAGGUGAAAAUGGCGGUAAGAAAAUGCCGGAGGGAACCACCCGAUGGGCCGAAGGCAAUCCCCCUGGACCUGUACUGACGCUCAUGCACGAAAGCGUGGGGAGCAAACAGGAUUAGAUACCCUGGUAGUCCACGCCCUAAACGAUGUCAACUGGUUGUUGGGUCUUCACUGACUCAGUAACGAAGCUAACGCGUGAAGUUGACCGCCUGGGGAGUACGGCCGCAUUGGUUGAAACUCAAAUGAAUUGACGG